UACGUAGGUGACAAGCGUUGUCCGGAUUUACUGGGCGUAAAGAGCGCGCAGGCGGUCGUUCAAGUCGAGUGUGAAAGCCCCCGGCUCAACUGGGGAGGGUCACUCGAUACUGAUCGACUCGAAGGCAGGAGAGGGUAGUGGAAUUCCUGGUGUAGCGGUGGAAUGCGCAGAUAUCAGGAGGAACACCGGUGGCGAAGGCGGGAUCCUGGGCCAGUACUGACGCUGAGGAGCGAAAGCGUGGGGAGCAAACAGG
rnacentral:rRNA from 1 species